rnacentral:rRNA from 1 species
CCAGACUCCUACGGGAGGCAGCAGUCGGGAAUAUUGCACAAUGGAGGAAACUCUGAUGCAGUGACACCGCGUAUAGGAAGAAGGUCUUAGGAUUGUAAGCUAUUGUCGUGUGAGAAGAAAAUGACCAUCACAGGAGGAAGCCCUGGCUAAAUAUGUGCCAGCAGCCGCGGUAAUACAUAUGGGGCGAGCGUUAUCCGGAUUUAUUGGGUGUAAAGGGUGCGUAGGCGGGAAAAUAAGUCAGUAUGUGAAAUCCCUCGGCUCAACUGAGGAACUGCAACUGAAACUAUUUUUCUUGAGUGUUGAAGGGGAAAGUGGAAUUCCUAGUGUAGCGGUGAAAUGCGUAGAGAUUAGGAGGAACACCAGUGGCGAAGGCGACUUUCUGGGCAACAACUGACGCUGAGGCACGAAAGUGUGGGGAGCAAACAGGAUUAGAUACCCUGGUAGUCCACACCGUAAACGAUGGAUACUAGGAGUUGGCAAAAAUAUUGUCGGUUCCGCAGUUAACGCAUUAAGUAUCCCACCUGGGGAGUACGACCGCAAGGUUAAAACUCAAAGGAAUUGACGGGGGCCCGCACAAGA